UCCGAGUUGACCCCGGCAGUCUCUCACGAGUCCCCGCCAUUACGCGCUGGCAACAUACGAUAAGGGUUGCGCUCGUUGCGGGACUUAACCCAACAUCUCACGACACGAGCUGACGACGGCCAUGCAGCACCUGUCAUUAGGCUCCCGAAGGCACCCCUCUGUUUCCAGUGGGUUUCUAAGAUGUCAAGCCUCGGUAAGGUUCUACGCGUAGCGUCAUAUUAAACCACAUCCUCCUCUGCUUGUGCGGGUCCCCGUCAAUUCCUUUGAGUUUUAGCCUUGCGGCCGUACUUCCCAGGCGGCAUACUUAUCGCGUUAGCUUCGUCUCACAGGGGGUCGAUACCCCAUAAGACUAGUAUGCAUCGUUUACGGCGUGGACUAC
rnacentral:misc_RNA from 1 species